UAUCUGUACUAGUCUAGAAGCAAAAAAUCCAGAAUAUUAUUUGUGAGGGACGUUCUUCUGAAUCUAGGUGUCAAAGCUGCUUGCAGUAUAAUAUUGAAUAUUUACUGGAUUUGGUUUACCUGAAGACAUUACUCAAAAAACUAUCUUCCACAUGAUGACACAUGACUUGGUUUAAGAUUGAUGAGUCAUUAAAACCUUCCUCUAAAUGAAAGGAGAAGAGCAGAUUUGUCUCUAGGCAUGAAGUGACCUCAGAAUGGAGAAGAGACUAAGAAAAGAUUUGUUUUCCUGUUCCUGGGAUGAAAGAAGUUUUUGAACAGGAUCUUCAAGUUGGUCAGCUAGACGAUGACAGCUGCCCUUGCGAUGGUAUCCAUGAUUAUGCAUCCACAUGACACUCACCCUGGCCUGGAAGCAGACUGCUCCAUCUUGGACUUUUGAGAACAAAGACUUCUUUAAUGCCUCUGAACUACUUGGAAUGAUUUCAUAGGCUAAAGGAUAGGUUGGUGGAGAAAGAAACAUAUGUUCUGUGGGACAAUGAAAAGGCAUUUCUCUUAGCCCAUAGCUCCAUCUUUUAUCACAAUCAAGGCAUAGUGGAGGGCAUAUCAGCCGUACACAUUCUCAGUAAGAAUAAGAUAAUCUACAGACAUUUCGUGGCUUCUGCAUUGCUCUAAAUGUGCUCAUUCUUGACUGACUCAGUCUAGAUCUUAAACCACCACCACCACCACCACCACUCCUGCUGAAAUAAGUCUGCUUUCAUGGCCUUUAGGAAAAACUAGUCAAUAUGAUUCAUUGCUUUUCAUUGUAAGGGCUGCUGAGCCCUAGGGAAAAGAAGCUUAUAGGAGAAUGAAAAUCAUUUUAGACUGCUACAUGUUUGAUGCUGUUUUUAUGCCCUGCUUGGCUUUUUAAGUGGCUGGCUCUUUAACAGUUUAUUUUAACUAUAUUAUUAUUAUAUCACGUUUUGCUUUGUAAGCUGCCUCAAGCAGGGUCUCUGGA